GACAGCAGCCCUGGAACAGCCACCCAGCAGGAGGGGUCACGGAAUGCAAGCAACCCCACGCUCUUCUGAGGUGAGGCAAGACCUCUACUUGGAUGCAGAGGCUGGGAAGUGCCUGAGAAAUCACUGAUGACUGAUGUUCCCACCACGCCCAGUCAUCAGCCACAGAACUGAGGCUUGGAGAGGUGUAUAAUAUAUAUUUACAGCCCCAACCAGAUUUGACAUGCUUUUCAGUGACUCAUUGCCAAGUGGACACUCACUAAUUCAUAGGGGUUUGUAUGGGGUGAAGAGAUGGAGUCUCUACCUUUCUACACUGUCCACCAAUGUUUGUACUGCAUGAGCAAAAAGCGAUGAAGACUACAGCUGAGCUCUGUGCUGAGGCAUGGAAAUGACUCCACCAAGUCCAUCUGACAAGUGCGAACCGACACAGCCUACUGCUCCUCUGAUAUACCUACCAUUCAUGUAAAUGGCUGGACUGUGCUCACCCAGCCACCAGGGCUCUGGUUUCCUCCUCUCCCUGGCUCUCCAGGAUUCAUACACAGCAUCCACCUCUACCACUGAUUCUGGUACUCAUCAACUGUCAUCCCACAGAGUGGGUCACCACAGCAUGUCCAUUCAACAAGUAUUUGGAAAGUAAAAGGACCUGCUGUCUAUCGUCAGCACUGGGAAGCCUUCUGUUUGGUCCAGCCCAUCAUGCUCUUAACCAGGAAGGGAAGAGCAAGGAGCUGCUUGGCCAAGGAAGUGCAGGAAGAAGAAGAGAGUGGGAUCUAGAAAGAAGAUCAUGUUUUCUAAAACGCUUUGUUGUUGGCUAAAGCCAAGAGACGUUGAGUAACUUUCUUGGAGACACACAGGAAGUCAGCUGUAGAGUGUGCCAAAAACCUGAAGUCCAAACCAGUCCCAUCCACCCCUAAUCCUUCCCCCUUUCCCUGUGGGGGUGGGGGCAGAGGGCACUUACUACCUUCUUCUUAGACCUCCCUUCUCUCUAAGAAAAUGAGAAGUCUAGAACCCCAGGGCAGUCCCAGUCUUGUUUAAAGUAAUUGCAAAACUGCUCCUCCCCACUACAUGUAAUUCUCAGAUAACUGUUCUUCUCCAUCCCCCUAGAGGAUGCUGUCUGGUGAGGGCGGCACCCACCAGCCCCAAACUGAGAAGCCCCUGGCCCACCCCGGGACUAGACUCUGAAGAUCCCCCAACUAACCGGUCCCCUCAGUAGAUCUGCCUGCUUCAUUCACCAUGAGCUGAAGGUCAGCAGCGGAGGGUAUCCCCUGGGAAGGCUCUCACCAGCCAAUUCUUGAGGCUGCCACUGGGGAGGGAGAGGAUACGGGCUUGUAGCCCGGAUGCUUAAGGAUACCAGGGCGAUGCGGUGCCCGGCACCAAAGCAGCCUGAGUGUAGGGGUAUCCCUUCUGGAAGGCAAAACCAGGUCCACUCCUCCGCAGCAUCUGGGUCUCCCAAGACCCAGACCACGCUCAAUGCCCAAAGAGGAAGGGUCUCCCCCUCCCCCCUCCCUUGCCAGGGACAGAUUCCUACAUUCCCUCUCU